UACGUAGGGGGCAAGCGUUGUCCGGAAUCAUUGGGCGUAAAGAGCUCGUAGGCGGCUUGUCGCGUCGACUGUGAAAUCCCGCGGCUCAACUGCGGGUCUGCAGUCGAUACGGGCAGGCUAGAGUUCGGUAGGGGAGACUGGAAUUCCUGGUGUAGCGGUGAAAUGCGCAGAUAUCAGGAGGAACACCGGUGGCGAAGGCGGGUCUCUGGGCCGAUACUGACGCUGAGGAGCGAAAGCGUGGGGAGCGAACAGG
rnacentral:rRNA from 1 species